GUCUUGUUGAUUAUGAUUUCAAGUCGGACCUGCCCAAUGAUGAAUUAAAUGGCCGCGGUAUAUUGACCGUGCAAAGGUAGCAUAGUCAUUAGUUUUUUAAUUGAAAGCUUGUAUGAAGGGUUUAAUGAAAAGAUUUCUGUCUCUGGAAAAAUUUAUUAGAAUUUUAUUUUUGAGUGAAAAAGCUUAAAUGAAUAUAGAAGACGAGAAGACCCUAUAGAGUUUAAUAUUUUGGAAAAUAAAUAAAAUUUUAUGUUGAGAAAAUUUUUAUUUUUGGAAGUAUUUUGUUGGGGUGAUAGAAAAAUUUAAAAAACUUUUUUUAUAUUUAAACAUUUAUUUGUGAAUUUAUGAUCCUUUAUUUUGAUUAUAAGAUGAAAUUACCUUAGGGAUAACAGCGUAAUUUUUUUUAGAGUUCUUAUCGAAAAAAAAGAUUGCGACCUCGAUGUUGGAUUAAAAUUUACUAUUGGUGUAGAAGCUAGUAUGUUAGGUCUGUUCGACCUUUAAAAUUUUACAUGAUCUGAGUUUAAACCGGCGUGAG
rnacentral:rRNA from 1 species